rnacentral:tmRNA from 1 species
GGGGCCGUCCCGGAUUCGACAGGUUGGUGAAAGCCGACCCGUGAUGCAGGUCGAGAGUGAGUCUACUCUCGUAAAUUCAGGCUCAACUUCAAAAGUAACCUAUGGACAAAACCCCAACGGAUGCGCACUUUAAUUGCCUCUGGUCGAUUGAGUGCAAAGACUUCACCAGAGAUCCCCACCAUCCGGGAUAAAGGAUGAUUCCUGCCCAGAGGAUUAGAUGGGCUAAACCUGUGAAAGAACGGUAGGGAAAUAUCCAGCCUGGACAGCAGUUCAACUCUGCUCGGCUCCAUUU